AACGAACGCUGGCGGCGUGCCUAAGACAUGCAAGUCGUGCGAGAAAGUUCCUUCGGGAGCGAGUACAGCGGCGCACGGGUGAGUAACGCGUGGGCAACCUGCCUCGAGGUCUGGGAUAACCCGGGGAAACCUGGGCUAAUACCGGAUCAGCCCACGAGGUCUUCGGACCACGUGGGAAAAGAUGGCCUCUUCUCGAAAGCCAUCGCCCCGAGAGGGACCCGGGUCCCAUUAGCUAGUUGGGGAGGUAACGGCUCACCAAGGCGACGAUGGGUAGCUGGUCUGAGAGGACGAUCAGCCACACUGGGACUGAGACACGGCCCAGACUCCUACGGGAGGCAGCAGUCGGGAAUCUUGGGCAAUGGGCGCAAGCCUGACCCAGCGACGCCGCGUGAGGGAUGAAGGCCUUCGGGUCGUAAACCUCUGUCAGGAGGGAAGAACCGCUGCGAGGCGAACAGUCUCGCAGCUUGACGGUACCUCCAAAGGAAGCGCCGGCUAACUACGUGCCAGCCGCCGCAGUAACAC
rnacentral:rRNA from 1 species